rnacentral:rRNA from 1 species
UGGGGAAUUUUGGACAAUGGGCGCAAGCCUGAUCCAGCAAUGCCGCGUGAGUGAAGAAGGCCUUCGGGUUGUAAAGCUCUUUCAGUCGAGAAGAAAAGGUUGUGACCAAUAAUCACAACUCAUGGCGGUAUCGACAGAAGAAGCACCGGCUAACUACGUGCCAGCAGCCGCGGUAAUACGUAGGGUGCGAGCGUUAAUCGGAAUUACUGGGCGUAAAGGGUGCGCAGGCGGUUUUGUAAGUCAGAUGUGAAAUCCCCGGGCUUAACCUGGGAACUGCGUUUGAAACUACAAGACUAGAGUGUGGCAGAGGGGGGUGGAAUUCCAUGUGUAGCAGUGAAAUGCGUAGAGAUAUGGAAGAACAUCGAUGGCGAAGGCAGCCCCCUGGGUUAACACUGACGCUCAUGCACGAAAGCGUGGGGAGCAAACAGGAUUAGAUACCCCCGUAGUCCCUGAGCGGGCUGGCAAGGCGCAU